rnacentral:rRNA from 1 species
GUGAGGAAUUUUCCGCAAUGGGCGAAAGCCUGACGGAGCAAUGCCGCGUGAAGGAUGAAGGCCUAUGGGUUGUAAACUUCUUUUCUCAGAAAAGAAUUAUGACGGUAUCUGAGGAAUAAGCAUCGGCUAACUCUGUGCCAGCAGCCGCGGUAAGACAGAGGAUGCAAGCGUUAUCCGGAAUGAUUGGGCGUAAAGCGUCUGUAGGUUGUUUAAAAAGUAUUCUGUCAAAGAUUAGGGCUUAACCCUAGAUAGGCAGAAUAAACUUUUAAGCUAGAGUUUGGUAGAGGCAGAGGGAAUUCCCGGUGGAGCGGUGAAAUGCGUAGAUAUCGGGAGGAACACCAAAGGCGAAGGCACUCUGCUGUGCCAAUACUAACACUGAGAGACGAAAGCGAGGGGAGCAAAUGGGAUUAGAAACCCGUGUAGUCC